GUGAUUAGAAUUGGCUCCCACGUAUAGUUACAGAAAAGAAGGGUACCUGGCCUACAAAAUCUUAGUCACAACACAAAUAUACAAAAAACAACAAAAUUAAUCUAUACACAUAGGAAAAAUAAUCUUUCAAUAAUAAAUGAGGACUUAAAACAAAACCUCAAAUAGAACUCCAAAUUAAAUUAAACUUCCAGAAUCACAAGUGAGUACUAAUAGCAAUGGUAUGACAUCCAUAAAAUAUAAAGACCUUUCAAAGUAGGUCUAGUCACUGGUAAGAGUGACAGGACUAUUUUGCUUAUUCAUUUCUCAUAACCUAGUUCCUAUGUCUGAAAGUAUUUCAAACUUGUGGUUAAAACAGUAUUUCCUUAAAAACAACUUUGUGAAAACGUUUUUACCUCUUCUUCCUCAAUUUCAGAGGUGUUAAGUUCAUGUUUUUGACAGUAAGGACCCUCUUUCCAAGCUUCAGUAUCACCACAGUCACAGAAACCUCCACCUCCUGAUGUUGUCAUCUUGAAAAAAAAUUACACUGUGGCUGUCAAACCAGAGUGCACAACAAAUAAGCACUUAUCUUAUUAGAAGUCAUCCAUAAAGGAAGUGAAGAAACUGUCAACUCACUCCACUAAAGUAAACAUGUUACGACAACGGACAACGACAACGUUUCCAGGAGCUUUCCUUUUUUGAGUGCUAAAUUUAAGCCUUGGGAUAAAGAGCAAGUGUAAUAAACACAAAAAUGAAAGAC